GGGAGAGCCCAGCGCUCAAUCUCUCGGUCUUUGGCCGUUGAGAAAUUUGGCGUAUAGGUGCGGCUUUCCGGCGUUGUCGUAUACCCAAAGUCCCUUUGACUGGGGCCACAGUCCUGAGAAGGUGCAAGACCUGUACGGGUAGUGACGGCGUUGGUCGGUUGUUCCUUAGAGUCGGGUUGCCUGAGAACGCAGCCUUAAGAGGGUGGUAAACUUCAUCUAAGGCUAAAUAUGGCUGCCAGACCGAUAGCAAACAAGUACCGUGAGGGAAAGUUGCAAAGAACUUUGAAGAGAGAGUUCAAGAGUGCGUGAAACCACUGGAAUGGAAACGGAUAGAGUUGACGAAACUGAGCAAUAUUCAGCUGUCCUUUCGGGGGCAGUGCACUUAUKGCUCGUAUGCGCUGAGUCUGUUGGGUGUGUGCUUCGAACUCUUGAGCGUUGCCYGCUUGCAGUGUCUUGCUCUUGGGGAAGGGGUAUUGUGCCUAGCGUGAUUCGGUGUGAAAGUUGAUCACCUAUCCGACCCGUCUUGAAACACGGACCAAGGAGUCUAGCGUAUGCGCGAGUCAUUGGGUGGAAAACCUAAAGGCGUAAUGAAAGUGAAGGUCGGCUUACGAUCGGCUGAUAUGGGAUCCGUGCAUUCGUGUGCGGCGCACCAUAGCCCCGUCUCGAUGGCUUGCCAUGGGGCGGAGGUAGAGCGUAUACGCUACGACCCGAAAGAUGGUGAACUAUACGUGAGCAGGACGAAGCCCGAGGAAACUCUGGUGGAGGUCCGUAACGAUUCUGACGUGCAAAUCGAUCGUCUGACUGGCGUAUAGGGGCGAAAGACUAAUCGAACCAUCUAGUAG
rnacentral:rRNA from 1 species